UGAGGAAUAUUGGUCAAUGGACGAGAGUCUGAACCAGCCAAGUAGCGUGCAGGAUGACGGCCCUAUGGGUUGUAAACUGCUUUUGUUUGGGAAUAAUCGACAUUACGUGUAAUGUUUUGCAUGUACCAUUCGAAUAAGGACCGGCUAAUUCCGUGCCAGCAGCCGCGGUAAUACGGAAGGUCCAGGCGUUAUCCGGAUUUAUUGGGUUUAAAGGGAGUGUAGGCGGUUGGUUAAGCGUGUUGUCAAAUGUAGAUGCUCAACAUCUGACUUGCAGCGCGAACUGGCUGACUUGAGUACACACAACGUAGGCGGAAUUCAUGGUGUAGCGGUGAAAUGCUUAGAUAUCAUGAAGAACUCCGAUUGCGAAGGCAGCUUACGGGAGUGUUACUGACGCUUAAGCUCGAAGGUGCGGGUAUCGAACAGG
rnacentral:rRNA from 1 species